GACGAACGCUGGCGGCGUGCCUAAUACAUGCAAGUUGAGCGCUGAAGGUUGGUACUUGUACCAACUGGAUGAGCAGCGAACGGGUGAGUAACGCGUGGGGAAUCUGCCUUUGAGCGGGGGACAACAUUUGGAAACGAAUGCUAAUACCGCAUAAAAACUUUAAACACAAGUUUUAAGUUUUAAAGAUGCAAUUGCAUCACUCAAAGAUGAUCCCGCGUUGUAUUAGCUAGUUGGUGAGGUAAAGGCUCACCAAGGCGAUGAUACAUAGCCGACCUGAGAGGGUGAUCGGCCACAUUGGGACUGAGACACGGCCCAAACUCCUACGGGAGGCAGCAGUAGGGAACCUUAGGCAAUGGACGAAAGUCUGACCGAGCAACGCCGCGUGAGUGAAGAAGGCUUUCGGAUCGUAAAAAUCUGUUGGUAGAGAAGAACGUUGGUGAGAGUGGAAAGCUCAUCAAGUGACGGUAGCUACACAGAAAGGGACGGCUAACUACGUG
rnacentral:rRNA from 1 species